rnacentral:rRNA from 1 species
GCAUUAGCUAGUUGGUAAGGUAACGGCUUACCAAGGCAAUGAUGCAUAGCCGAGUUGAGAGACUGAUCGGCCACAUUGGGACUGAGACACGGCCCAAACUCCUACGGGAGGCAGCAGUAGGGAAUCUUCCACAAUGGACGAAAGUCUGAUGGAGCAACGCCGCGUGAGUGAAGAAGGGUUUCGGCUCGUAAAGCUCUGUUGGUAGUGAAGAAAGAUAGAGGUAGUAACUGGCCUUUAUUUGACGGUAAUUACUUAGAAAGUCACGGCUAACUACGUGCCAGCAGCCGCGGUAAUACGUAGGUGGCAAGCGUUGUCCGGAUUUAUUGGGCGUAAAGCGAGUGCAGGCGGUUCAAUAAGUCUGAUGUGAAAGCCUUCGGCUCAACCGGAGAAUUGCAUCAGAAACUGUUGAACUUGAGUGCAGAAGAGGAGAGUGGAACUCCAUGUGUAGCGGUGGAAUGCGUAGAUAUAUGGAAGAACACCAGUGGCGAAGGCGGCUCUCUGGUCUGCAACUGACGCUGAGGCUCGAAAGCAUGGGUAGCGAACAGGAUUAGAUACCCUGGUAGUCCAUGCCGUAAACGAUGAGUGCUAAGUGUUGGGAGGUUUCCGCCUCUCAGUGCU